rnacentral:rRNA from 1 species
UACGAAGGGGGCUAGCGUUGCUCGGAAUCACUGGGCGUAAAGGGUGCGUAGGCGGGUUUUUAAGUCAGGGGUGAAAUCCUGGAGCUCAACUCCAGAACUGCCUUUGAUACUGGCGAUCUUGAGUCCGGGAGAGGGUGAGUGGAACUGCGAGUGUAGAGGUGAAAUUCGUAGAUAUUCGCAAGAACACCAGUGGCGAAGGCGGCUCACUGGCCCGGUACUGACGCUGAGGUGCGAAAGCGUGGGGAGCAAACAGG